UGGGGAAUUUUGGACAAUGGGGGAAACCCUGAUCCAGCCAUCCCGCGUGUGCGAUGAAGGCCUUCGGGUUGUAAAGCACUUUUGCAGGAAAGAAACGUCGCGGGUUAAUACCCCGCGAAACUGACGGUACCUGCAGAAUAAGCACCGGCUAACUACGUGCCAGCGGCCGCGGUAAUACGUAGGGUGCAAGCGUUAAUCGGAAUUACUGGGCGUAAAGCGUGCGCAGGCGGUUCGGAAAGAAAGAUGUGAAAUCCCAGAGCUUAACUUUGGAACUGCAUUUUUAACUACCGGGCUAGAGUGUGUCAGAGGGAGGUGGAAUUCCGCGUGUAGCAGUGAAAUGCGUAGAUAUGCGGAGGAACACCGAUGGCGAAGGCAGCCUCCUGGGAUAACACUGACGCUCAUGCACGAAAGCGUGGGGAGCAAACAGGAUUAGAUACCCUGGUAGUCCACGCCCUAAACGAUGUCAACUAGCUGUUGGGGCCUUCGGGCCUUGGUAGCGCAGCUAACGCGUGAAGUUGACCGCCUGGGAGUACGGUCGCAAGAUUAAAACUUAAAUGAUUGAC
rnacentral:rRNA from 1 species